AUAGUCUUGCUGAGGUCAGUCAGCCUGAGGAGCUGUUGCAAAAUCAGGCUGAAAGAUGAGUGCUCAUAAUUAAUGCUGUGUAAGGCAAGAAUGAAUGCUUAAAAAAAUUCUAAUGCAUGAUGGUGUUUUUUUUUUUUUUUCUUUUUCUUUUAGUAAAGGGAUGGGUAGAGGUGCUUCAUUUUAUUUUCUUCUGGAUAAAUGUUAUUUCUUACUUACAGCAUGGUAGAAACCCUAUUCUGCUCUGGCUACUCAAGGACACUUGGCGGCACCUACAAGUGCACCUCAAGGCAUCUUGACUACAAGAGAGAUUUGUUCUGUUUCAGUAUUGGCUCUGUUGGAAGCAGUCAAAUUCUCCAAAGCACUCACCUGGCUGCAGAAUGGCCUUUUCUCAGAGAGUCAUGCUGCUUGUCCCAGGCAGCGCUGCCCUGCUCUGGGUGUCUUGGUGCAAAUUUUCAUUGCAUCCUGUAGCCCUAGAAUUCAUGGCUGUCCCUCAGGGUUGUGAAGGAGCGCUGUCUUUGGAUUUUUGGCUUCAGAGUGGGAAGGGCAUGAUCUAAGCUGUGGCAUCUCAGCUAUAUUUUAGGAAGCCUGGAAAAGCAAGCUCUUCUUGACGAGGAACCGCUUCAUCUUGAAAGUCAAGGUGUCUCGCAAGAGGUGCUGCAAAGGAGAGCAGUGGGAAGAGCCCGAGAGAAAUGCCGUCUGGCUGAGGGAUCCUUGCGUCCCCUCUGGAAUAAAUCCUCGGAGCUGCUGCUUUGCAGUCCGGUUUGGACACAUUUUGCUGCCGCUUUGGUUCUGAAGAAGCGGAAAUCCGUGGAUUUCUGGAUGAUUUCCGUAGCUUCCCCUAUUUUGGAGGAGCUGCAGGGUGAGGGAGCUGGCAAAAAAGGAGAGAGCCGCUAGGAAGCAAAGAAGCCGCCCGAAGGCCUUAUCCCAGCCCAGGGUUCCCACUUUUCUCUCUGACUCCUGAAUAAUUGCUUGAGCGUAACCAGGGAGCGUCCGUUUGAUUUCCUGCCUUUUCCAAUAAAUCCUUGCCUUCAGCUGGAGCGCGUUCCUGGUGUCCUCCUCCUCCUCCUGCUGCAUGGAUUUGUAAAUAAAGUUCCUGCCUUCUGUCCCACUGAAUUUUGUUAUUCCAGCAAUUGUGGCUCGCUCGUUCCAUUGAAACUUCCCCGCUCUGCCGAGAGUUUGAGAUGUCAAAUCCAGGGCACAUUUGCAAGGAAAUUUGCCAAAAGAGUGUCGGUUAAUGGGCAUUGUGGAUCACCGUACCUGCAGGAUGCUGUAAAUUCCCAGGAAAACUUGCUGCGUGUUUAAUUGCCGUCAUGAAUCUCUCUGUAAAGUCAAAUUCACUGCAUUUUUAAUGCCAUCAAUCCCAUUACAACCUCACUCCUGGCCUAAUUGCUGUUCCCUGGACACAAUGGGGUGGAUCUUUCCUGCCUUGGCACAUUUGGAUGUUCAUGCGAAUAUGUGGCAGAUUGUCUACUGGCAACAAAGAAGUUGGAAAAUGACAGCCGUGGCCACCCCCCGAAGGCCUGGAUAUAAUGGGGAGUGAGAGCAAAGCCUCUGUACUUUCUGCUCCAUUGAGGAACCCGAAGGGAGAAAGCUAGAGCAGUGGGAAGAGCCCGAGAGAAAUGCCGGCUGGCUGAGGGAUCCUUGCGUCCCCUCUGGAAUAAAUCCUCGGAGCUGCUGCUUUGCAGUCCGGUUUGGACACAUUUUGCUGCCGCUUUGGUUCUGAGGAAGCGGAAAUCCGUGGAUUUCUGGAUGAUUUCCGUAGCUUCCCCUAUUUUGGAGGGGCUGCAGGGUGAGGGAGCUGGCAAAAAAGGAGAGAGCCGCUAGGAAGCAAAGAAGCCGCCCGAAGGCCUUAUCCCAGCCCAGGGUUCCCACUUUUCUCUCUGACUCCUGAAUAAUUGCUUGAGCAUAACCAGGGAGCGUCCGUUUGAUUUCCUGCCUUUUCCAAUAUUGGCUCCAAUAUUUCCAAUUGUGGCUCGCUCGUUCCAUUGAAACUUCCCCGUUCUGCUGAGAGUUUGAGAUGUCAAAUCCAGUAUGUGGCAGAUUGUCUGCUGGCAACAAAGAAGUUGGAAAAUGACAGCCGUGGCCACCCACCGAAGGCCUGGAUAUAAUGGGGAGUGAGAGCAAAGCCUCUGUACUUUCUGCUCCAUUGAGGAACCCGAAGGGAGAAAGCUAGAGCAGUGGGAAGAGCCCGAGAGAAAUGCCGGCUGGCUGAGGGAUCCUUGCGUCCCCUCUGGAAUAAAUCCUCGGAGCUGCUGCUUUGCAGUCCGGUUUGGACACAUUUUGCUGCCGCUUUGGUUCUGAGGAAGCGGAAAUCCGUGGAUUGCUGGAUGAUUUCCGUAGCUUCCCCUAUUUUGGAGGAGCUGCAGGGUGAGGGAGCUGGCAAAAAAGGAGAGAGCCGCUAGGAAGCAAAGAAGCCGCCCGAAGGCCUUAUCCCAGCCCAGGGAUAAGGCUUUUCUCUCUGACUCCUGAAUAAUUGCUUGAGCAUAACCAGGGAGCGUCCGUUUGAUUUCCUGCCUUUUCCAAUAAAUCCUUGCCUUCAGCUGGAGCGCGUUCCUGGUGUCCUCCUCCUCCUCCUGCUGCUGCAUGGAUUUUUAAAUAAAGUUCCUGCCUUCUGUCCCGCUGAAUUUUGUUAUUCCAGCAAUUGUGGCUCGCUCGUUCCAUUGAAACUUCCCCGCUCUGCCGAGAGUUUGAGAUGUCAAAUCCAGGGCACAUUUGCAAGGAAGUUUGCCAAAAGAGUGUCGGUUAAUGGGCAUUGUGGAUCACCGUACCUGCAGGAUGCUGUAAAUUCCCAGGAAAACUUGCUGCGUGUUUGACUGCCGUCAUGAAUCUCUCAGUAAAGUCAAAUUCAGUGCAUUUUUAAUGCCGUCCAUCCCAUUACAACCUCACUCCUGGCCUAAUUGCUGUUCCCUGGACACAAUGGGGUGGAUCUUUCCUGCCUUGGCACAUUUGGAUGUUCAUCCGAAGUGAGUUUCCCUCUAAAAUAGAAUUUGUUUCCAAGCAAA